GAUGAAGAACGUAGCGAAAUGCGAUAAGUAGUGUGAAUUGCAGAAUUCAGUGAAUCAUCGAAUCUUUGAACGCACAUUGCGCCUUCUAGUAUUCUGGGAGGCAUGCCUGUUUGAGCGUCAUUAAACCUCUCUCAAGUAUGAUUACUUGGAUGUGAAGGAAGAGUACCUUAAACUUAAGGAGUGUUCUCCUUUGAAAUUGAUUAGCAGAUGGUAAUGUUAUUAAAUCCCUGAUGUUGUAAGAAAUAACAGUGGUUUUGUAGACUAUUAUCUAGCUUUAAAUUAUAAUUUUUAUUAUGGUUGACCUCAAAUCAGGUAAGGAUACCCGUUGAACUUAAGCAUAUCAAUAAGCGGAGGA
rnacentral:misc_RNA from 1 species